rnacentral:rRNA from 1 species
AUGAUCAUGGCAAAGGAACAAUACGAGAACAACAUGUCAAAGACUUAUGUUCUGAAGGUCAGCAUGCACUGCCAGUGCAAUGGUUGCAUCAAGAAGAUCAACGACGGGGUGAAAGAGAUCGCCCUUUCAGAAGGGGUGGAGAGGGCUGACCUGGUGGCGGAGACGGCAGAGGUGAUAGUGGUCGGGAGAAUGGACCCAGAGAAGCUCUGCUGCUUGCUGCAUGAACUAACGCAGAAGCAUGUGAAGAUAGAAACCAAAAGAGCCGUAUCUGAAGGAGAAACUGCAGCUUCUCGGGAAACCAAGAACCGCUUUGGCCAGGUUACUUCCGGCUUGUUCGAUUCGGACUUACCAGAGGAAAGCCCAGUAACACCUGUUAUGCCGAGUGCACCGCCGAUUCCCGAGGCAUGGAGGAGCCAAACCGUGCCUUCCCAGAGAUGCGCUUACCGUUGGUCGCUACCUUUGCCCGGCGCACUCGGCGUGUGGGCAGCGUCUGACAUCGAGGGGACAAUGGCGGUGUACGAGCUCUGA